rnacentral:lncRNA from 1 species
CUCACAAGAAGGAUGCAUUAUGGGUGAAAUGGAUUCAUACAGUCUAUAUCAAACAGCAACAGUGGGAGUCCAUAAAUAUUCCUAAACAAGCCAGUUGGAUGGUCCGGAAGAUCAUGGAAGGUACUGUUCUAUUGCAGCAAUACCAACUGUUACACAAACCAGCAUGCUCUAUAAGAAUGAUCUAUCUUCAACAGAUUGGACAGUUACCUAGAGUCAUUUGGAAGAACUUAACCAUACAAAAUCUUGCUCGACCUAAAGCACUUUUCAACCUUUGGAUGCUCCUACAAGACAGACUUCCUAAGAAGAUCAUGGAAUGUACUGUUCUAUUGCAGCAAUACCAACUGUUACACAAACCAGCAUGCUCUAUAAGAAUGGUCUAUCUUCAACAGAUUGGACAGUUACCUAGAGUCAUUUGGAAGAA